AAGACCUUACUUCAUAUGAUCAUUUCUAUAGUAAGUUCUUCAUCCAUAAAUUCGCAAUAUGUAAAGGCGCACAAACCAUGAUGAGAAGAUGUGGCGCGGUACUCUGAGCAUGUGAUGAACGGUGAUGGUCCACUGUCAGCCUUCAAUGAUCGUUUCCUCCUUUCGGGGAAAGUGAGCAAUAUCGCUUUCAAAG
rnacentral:snoRNA from 1 species